rnacentral:tRNA from 2 species
GGGGAAGUGGCGAAACUGGCAGACGCAUGGGAUUUAAAAUCCCAAGCCCGCAAGGGCGUCCGGGUUCGAGCCCCGGCUUCCCCACCA